rnacentral:rRNA from 1 species
AUGUGGCUGGGGAGGGAGGAGACGGCGGCGGCCGCUGCGGCGGAGACCCCGGCGGUGGGGGCGAGCAUGUACAUGAGCACGAAGUUGAGGAUGGAUCCGACGACGAGGGUGGAGAAGACGAAGUCGAGCUCGUUGAGGCCGAAGUUGGGGCGCGACGACAUGUCGCCGAGCACGCAGGCGGUGACGCCGACCAGCUCCUCCAUGAGCACCUUGAACGGGAACUGGGGAUCCGCGGCGACGCGGGCCGCCCACCCGGCGAGGAACAUGCCGAGGAUGCCUGCGCGGCCGCCGGCACCGUCUCCGGCGCCCCCGGAGUCCGCCGCGUCGCCAGAUCCGCCGCGCGAGAUGCGGGGAGGUUUUGGGGGGUUGGUGUGA